rnacentral:rRNA from 1 species
AGCGAACGCUGGCGGCAUGCUUAACACAUGCAAGUCGCGCGGUCAGCAAUGGCAGCGGCGGACGGGUGAGUAACGCGUAGGAAUGUGUCCAGAGGUGGGGGACAACCCCGGGAAACUGGGGCUAAUACCGCAUAUGUCCUGAGGGACAAAGCAGUAAUGCGCCUUUGGAGCGGCCUGCGUCCGAUUAGGUAGUUGGUGGGGUAAUGGCCUCCCAAGCCUGCGAUCGGUAGCUGGUCUGAGAGGAUGAUCAGCCACACUGGGACUGAGACACGGCCGAGACUCCUACGGGAGGCAGCAGUGGGGAAUAUUGGACAAUGGGGGCAACCCUGAUCCAGCAAUGCCGCGUGUGUGAAGACGGUCUUCGAAUCGUAAAGCACUGUCGACGGGGAGGAUGACGACGGUGCCCGUAGAAGAAGCCCCGGCUAACUUCGUGCCAGCCGUAGCGGUAACAC